GUAACGGCGAGUGAACGGAGAUUAGCCCGUCACCGAAGUCCGGUGCUCUUGCACACAGGACAAUGUGGUGUUGAGGCGUGCACCUGGGGCACGCGUGCCCACCCGAAGUCCAACUCCGAUUGUGGCUUGGAUUUUGCCCAGAGCGGGUGUAAGGCCCGUACGGGUGGGCGGUUGAUCGCGAGCGCGGCCCUCAGAUGUGCAUGCUUUCGAGUCGGAUUGCUUGAGAAUGCAGUCCAAAGUGGGUGGUAAACUCCAUCCAAGGCUAAAUACUGGCACGAGUCCGAUAGUAGACAAGUACCGUGAGGGAAAGUUGAAAAGUACUCUGAAGAGAGAGUAAAUAGUACGUGAAACCGAUUGCAGGGAAGCUGGUGGAGUCAAGCUUCAUGCCUGGGGAAUUCUCGCUCGGGGCUUUGCUGUGUUUUGGGCAUGGUGCCGGUUAGCUUGGAAAGAGUUGGGCACACUCGUGUGCUUCAAGUCGGCCCGGGCGUGGUUGAUUGAGCCGGCGCUUAUGCUCUGCCCUGAGCGAUCUAUUCUCCGCGGCAUAGAUCACGGUCGAUAGUGUUUUGUUGAAACGUGCUGUCCGACUGUCUAACUGCACUUUGGUGGGCCCUCGGCCUGCCGGGUGCAGGAUGGCAGGUGGCGGUCGUGGGCCUCGUGCUCUCGACUGCUCAAGCUGGUCUCGACCGGCUGAUGGUCGGGCAGUGUCGUCGCUAUCGCAGAUGUGUGGUGUGCGGUCCUCGGACCGUGCCCCGCUCAGAACCGUGAUUCUGA
rnacentral:rRNA from 1 species